UCUUUGUUAUUUAUUAUUCAUAGAAAAUACACCUGACUCCAUCCAUUGACUUCUAUAAGAAAUUAGCCUUGGACUGUUCUGGUCAACAGGUAGCUGUUGACUUAUUCCUUCUCAGUGGACAGUAUUCUGAUUUGGCUUCUCCGGGACCUUGAGAAGUUAGAGAAAAGCUGAGUGAAAUGCCUGCAGUUACUUUGGUGUGGUAAUAGUAGCAUCAUUUAAAAGGAGUUUGUGGGAGUGUCAGAAGGAGGAGCAUUUGGGGUUGGGAACCAGCAGGAGUCUGGAGGAUGAGAGGGACUUCCUGUCUCUGCCCAAUGUCAACCCAGAUGCCAGGUAUACAGUACAGAUGUCAGCGGAAAAGAGUCUUCCUGACAUGCAGUUGGGUUCUUUUCAGUCAGCACUCUUGUAUACAUCAAGCAAAGGUGAAAGAAGAAUACUAUCCGUACUUUGUGUUUGCCAGUAGUUUCAACUCUGAAUGAAGUCUUUCUGGAAGCUGAUGUUCAAGCAAUUUCAGGGUUAUUGGCCAAUAUGGAAAUCAUUCCAGACUGGACAAACGUGUAUCUAGAAGAACACAUUUUGCUGUGUCAAGUGCAAACCCAGCCCUUGGUUCACCUUAUGCUCACAACUCAUCCCAGUUUGUACAGAAUUGACAAUCUCUCAGAUGAGGAAAGAUGGAUUCCUUUUUUUAGUGGCUUUUUCUAGAUGUUUUCUAAGCGUAAUCAUACUCAUUCCAGUGCUGAAUUGAGAAGAGCUGUGAUCACCUCCUCACUUCCUCGGGGAGCCCUCAGCAUCAAUGACAGAAUCAUCCCUCAGCCCCCUGUUCUUCAGCUCUCCACGGAGAAACUGAGCAGAGAUGGCGCUUUCCUCCUGGAUUCAGGCUCUGCACUGAUGCUUUGUGUUGGGAAAAACUGUGCAGAGUUUUCUCCACCAAGUGGUAGGAGUUCCAAACUAUGCAUCAAUUCCACAGACUAUGACAGAAUUUGAUACACCAGAGUCGGCCAGAACAAUAGCUUUUCUCUCAUGGCAUAGAGAGCAGAGACCAUUUUUCUCAGUACUUUAUGUAAUAAGUCACCUUGGAAUCAAGGAAGGAUGGGAAUGAUCAGUAGCAUCUUUGUGAGAAGGGACUGAAACGAUCCCUAAUGACAGUGGAGCCUUGGAGCACAGACCACCUUUCCAAAUGAGGACAGAUACCCAUAACAAUGAGGCUGCACUGUGGAGCAGGAGUAAGCACUUUUUGGGCACCAGAUUGCUCCCCUCAAGUGUUGGCGGCAGUAACAACUUCUCCAGGACCCUUUAAGAGCAAGGACUGAGACAACAUCCAACCAGAUCAACACCUAAGUGAGUAGUCUGACCUGACAUGUGGAAGCCCAGGAGUUUGGACCUGAGACCAUCACACUGUAAGGAAGUUUAAACUGGCUGUGUCAAGAGGAAGAGAGAUGUCUAGCCAGCGCCCAGGUGUCCUAGCCAUCUGACUGAGGGGCCAGACCUACAACCCCAUCAUAAAUGAAGAAGCGUCUGUCCUGAAAAGUUAGGUGUGAAGAAGUAAGUGCUCUGCUUCUCAGUGUAUACCCUAGAGCUAUGCUCAAGGAACAGGGGUAAGGAACCCCAAAGUUACUUUGUAAUUUAGGAAAAAGAAAACCAAAAUUCCUGGGAACAGCCAAAAACCCACUGGGACAGUGAUUAGUAAAUUGCAUAUGCAAUGACCUGCCGUGUGCAGUGCUCAUGAACUACUGGCGUGAACAGAAAUGAGUCUUCCCAACAUGAUGUUGAGUGCCAAAAAAGACAAAUCAGAGAAAAACCCCAAAAUACCUUCCUAUAAAGUUCCACCACAAGCAAAACUAAGCAUCAUCAAUACCAACAGAUGUGGGCGCGUACACACACAUGUAUAAAUAUGAAUAGCACAGGAAUCAUAAAAAACUCAGUGCGGUGUUGGAGGGUGAGGACACCUGGGGAGGGGCUUACAUGGACUUCUAAGCCUUCUAUUUUCUUUCCUUUCUUUUUUUCUGGUUUGUAGUACCAUGGAAUUACAGGUGUGCAUCACCACACCUGACUCUGCUUUUUAAAUGUUUUUAUUAGUAUCUAAUAGUUGCACGGGGGUUCUGUUGUGACGUGUCGAUAUAUGCAUAUCAGUUUGGUUCAUCCCCUCCAUUGUUCUCCCUCCUCUCCCUCCUCUUCUUGAAAUGACUCUGACAGGUUUUAACGUUCCAUAUUUAUUCAUGUAUAGAAAAUACAUCAACCAUAUUCUCCCUCCUCUACCCUCUUCAUUUCACCUUCCCCCUCCCACUCAUGCCCUCCCCUUAACACGAUC